GCAUCCGUAGCUCAGCUGGAUAGAGUACUCGGCUACGAACCGAGCAGUCGGAGGUUCGAAUCCUCCCGGAUGCACCA
rnacentral:tRNA from 3 species